CGGCCGCCGGUUCCUUCGGCAGGGAAAGGUUUCCGACUAUUUGCUGUCCAUCCUCCCUCUGGAUCUGCCGUCUCUGUGCUGCGCCAUUCCGUUGCUCGUGCGUACUUUCCCCAGAUCUCCCAUGCUGUCGUCUGACUUCGUGCCGACCGGAUUCCGGCUCGUCCCACGCAUGCGCUGAAUGUGCAGGGCGAAGCAUUCGUUGGGGACGAACGUUUAGGGCGGGGAUUGGGGAACACGAGCCUGCUGGUCGGCGGAAUCGAAUUUGGGGUCCUAGCUUGAAGGGCUGCCAUCGUUUUUGGUUGGGAUGGCUGGAAAGGGAUAUGUUCCUCCACAAUAUAUUCCCUUAUAUGGCGUAGAUACCGAAGAUGAUCAUGUUCCGGCUGUGGAAGAAAACCAUGCUGCACGCCAUAAACUAAACCGGGAUCUGACACAAUGGUCAUCUGGCAUCUGUGCUUGUUUUGAUGAUCCCCAGAGCUGUAUGCCACUUUCUGAUCUGUGGUGCUAUUUGGUUGCAUGAUAGGUUGCAUAUAGUUGUAUUGGUGCGACUUGCCCCUGUUUUCUUUUUGGAAAGAAUGCACAGUUCUUGGGAUCUGGAACUCUUGCUGGAUCAUGCACUACACAUUGCAUGUUGUGGGGCCUUCUUACAAGUCUAUGUUGUGUAUUCACUGGAGGUCUAGUAUUAGCAGUUCCAGGGUCGGCCGUUGCUUGUUAUGCUUGCGGAUAUCGCAGUGCACUAAGAACAAAAUACAAUCUUCCGGAAGCACCCUGUGGCGAUUUGACGACACACUUAUUCUGUCACUUGUGUGCUAUAUGCCAGGAGUACAGGGAGAUCCGUGAGAGAACAGGCAGUGGCUCCUCAUCGGCUCCUAAUGUGACUCCACCCCCAGUUCAGACGAUGGAUGAGCCUUGAUCUCAACUGGUAUGAUUGUAUGUUAUCUGACAAAGUUUGGUGUGUGACCUGGUGGCUAGUGCUGCCUUUGCCUGACGGUGUUUUGACAUAUUUUUGUUCUUGUGCUCUCACAAUGUUACUAUGUGGUUUGUAGAGUUGUAAACAUGGGUUCUGAACUAGUGAACCACUGACAGUUCACGGAAGUUGUAAACACAGUUGUACCAUGGCACUAUAGCAGAAUUGUUAAGUGUAAUUUUUUUUCGUUAUUUAUAUUGGUAAGAGGAUGAAAAGGGGAAAAGAAAAGAAAUGCACUUCUCUUAUAGAA